UGCGGGGGGCCCAAACCAUGCAAGUCGAACGGUAGCAGGAUGUGCUUGCACAUCGCUGACGAGUGGCGGACGGGUGAGUAAUGCUUGGGAACUUGCCUUUGCGAGGGGGAUAACAGUUGGAAACGACUGCUAAUACCGCAUAAUGUCUACGGACCAAACGGGGCUUUUAGCUCCGGCGCAAAGAGAGGCCCAAGUGAGAUUAGCUAGUUGGUGAGGUAAAGGCUCACCAAGGCCACGAUCACUAUCUGUUCUGAGAAGAAGAUCACUCACCCUGAG
rnacentral:rRNA from 1 species